UACAGAGGGUGCAAGCGUUAAUCGGAAUUACUGGGCGUAAAGCGCGCGUAGGUGGUUUGUUAAGUUGGAUGUGAAAUCCCCGGGCUCAACCUGGGAAUUGCAUUCGAUACUGGAUAGCUGGAGUUCGGCAGAGGGAAGCGGAAUUUCGGGUGUAGCGGUGAAAUGCGUAGAUAUCCGAAGGAACAUCAGUGGCGAAAGCGGCUUCCUGGACCAGAACUGACGAUCAGGCUCGAAAGCGUGGGGAGCAAACAGG
rnacentral:rRNA from 1 species